ACGAGAAUAUUCGACAAUGGGCGAAAGCCUGAUCGAGCGACGCCGCGUGGAGGAUGAAGUUCUUCGGAAUGUAAACUCCUUUUGCCGGGGAAAAAGUUAUUGAUUGUACCCGGAGAAUAAGAAGUUGCUAAACUCGUGCCAGCAGCAGCGGUAAUACGAGUGCUUCGAGCGUUAUCCGGAAUCAUUGGGCGUAAAGGGUGUGUAGGCGGCUUUGUUAGUCCCGUGUUAAAUCUACCGGCUCAACCGGUAGGCUGCAUAGGAAACGGCAGAGCUUGAGGAUGGUAGGGGUCUCUGGAACUCAUGGUGUAGCGGUGAAAUGCGUUGAUAUCAUGGGGAACACCGAAAGCGAAGGCAAGAGACUGGGCCACUCCUGACGCUGAAACACGAAAGCGUGGGUCGCGAAUGGG
rnacentral:rRNA from 1 species